rnacentral:lncRNA from 1 species
AUGGUGGUAGUAUCGGUAUGCUCUUUUUGAUUGCUUAAGCAGCCCGAUAAAUGGAAGUUUUCUGGAGGAGUUUCUGUCUGUACAAGAAUCUCGAGUAAGACGGGUAUAUAUAUUUGAGUUCUGUGGGAGUUGUCUAUAUAAAUGGUGGCAUCUCGUGAGCCGUUGGAUAGAGGGACAUGUGAAAUUUUUGAAACGCUGGAAACUUGUGUUUACGUGCCUUCCACAUUUUGAUAUUUUCGUGUUUGGUUGGAAGAUUUUCGUAAUUUGAGGUUUGAUGUGCGUGAUCUGCCGAAUGUGAUAUCUGGUGGACGGUUCAAUCAUUACCGUAAUUGAACGGAGAAGGAUACAAAGAUGUCUGAUCAAGAAGGUGUACGUGGAUAUGGGCACAAAUGAAGAAGUAGACAAAAGCUGUGUGUAUUUCCAAGCUACUCAGUAGUGCUGUGAAAUUUCGGUACGUCUUCUCUUAUUAAUUAUAUUAUUCAUCUUGUUUCAGUUGAAAUUCUCUUCUUCCUUAUUAUCUCAUAAUUCUAAAGGUUGGAAAUAAGACUGCCAUUUCUAUUUCUAUAUGACAGAGUAAAUUCUUGAACAACUCAUUUAUAGAGGUAAAAUAAAAUUCUUUAAUUUUUAAUUUUUAUUUUUUUAAUUUUAUGUAAGAAACCACUGACCGAUGAGCCAAUAUUUGCAGCGAGUAUUAAUAGUGAAUGACGGAAUUACCCUCAUGUUUGUCGAGCUAUUCUAAGCAUUUGUGGAACUGGUGAGUUUCUGAAGAAGGGAGAGUUGGCCCUGCCCUAUUGCCUAACUCUUCGUAUUUUUAUCAGUUGUGUCCAAAUAAGGUGCUUCAAUCAAUCUGGAGGUGUUGUGUAAAUCUCCAUCCGUGCGCUCCAAUGGCGUGAACUGU